GACGAACGCUGGCGGCGUGCUUAACACAUGCAAGUCGAACGGAAAGGCCCUGCUUUUGUGGGGGGCUCGAGUGGCGAACGUGUGAGUAACACGUGAGUAACCUGCCCUUGACUUUGGGAUAACUUCAGGAAACUGUGGCUAAUACCGGAUAGGAGCUCCUGCUGCAUGGUGGGGUUGGGAAAGUUUCGGCGGUUGGGUAUGGACUCGCGGCUUAUCAGCUUGUUGGUGGGGUAGUGGCUUACCAAGGCUUUGACGGGUAGCCGGCCUGAGAGGGUGACCGGCCACAUUGGGACUGAGAUACGGCCCAGACUCCUACGGGAGGCAGCAGUGGGGAAUAUUGCACAAUGGGCGGAAGCCUGAUGCAGCAACGCCGCGUGCGGGAUGACGGCCUUCGGGUUGUAAACCGCUUUCGCCUGUGACGAAGCGUGAGUGACGGUAAUGGGUAAAGAAGCACCGGCUAACUACGUG
rnacentral:rRNA from 1 species